rnacentral:tRNA from 8 species
GAACGAAAAUCCGUUGGUUUCACGGGACCGUGAGGGUUCGAAUCCCUCUAUCCCCAGUA